rnacentral:rRNA from 1 species
GUAGGUGGCAAGCGUUGUCCGGAAUUAUUGGGGCGUAAAGCGCGCGCAGGCGGUUCUUUAAGUCUGAUGUGAAAGCCCACGGGCUCAACCGUGGAGGGUCAUUGGAAACUGGAGAACUUGAGUACAGAAGAGGAAAGCGGAAUUCCACGUGUAGCGGUGAAAUGCGUAGAGAUGUGGAGGAACACCAGUGGCGAAGGCGGCUUUCUGGUCUGUAACUGACGCUGAGGCGCGAAAGCGUGGGGAGCAAACAGGAUUAGAUACCCUGGUAGUCCACGCCGUAAACGAUGAGUGCUAAGUGUUAGGGGGUUUCCGCCCCUUAGUGCUGCAGCUAACGCAUUAAGCACUCCGCCUGGGGAGUACGGCCACAAGGCUG